rnacentral:rRNA from 1 species
GCCGCACGGGAGAGGAACACGUAGGUAAUCUGCCCUAGGGCGGGGAACAACCAGUCGAAAGAUUGGCUAAUACCCCGUAAGACCACGAUCACUAAUGUGAACGAGGUAAAAGAUUUAUCGCCCUAGGAUGAGCCUGCGCCCCGUUAGCUUGAUGGUAGGGUAACGGCCUACCAUGGCUACGAUGGGUAACUGGUCUGAGAGGAUGAUCAGUCUCACUGGAACUGAGACACGGUCCAGACUCCUACGGGAGGCAGCAGUAGGGAAUAUUGCACAAUGGAGGAAACUCUGAUGCAGCGACGCCGCGUGAGUGAUGACGGUUUUCGGAUUGUAAAGCUCUGUUCUUAGGGAAUAAGAAAGUGGAUGUACCUAAGAAGAAAGCACCGGCUAACUUCGUGCCAGCAGCCGCGGUAAUACGAGGGGUGCAAGCGUUGUUCGGAAUCAUUGGGCGUAAAGCGGGUGUAGGUGGUCACAUAAGUCAGAGGUGAAAGCCCAGGGCUCAACCUUGGAAGUGCCUUUGAUACUGUGUGACUUGAGUGUAAGAGAGGGUACUAGAAUUCCUGGUGUAGUGGUGAAAUACGUAGAGAUCAUGAGGAAUAUCGGUGGCGAAGGCGGGUGCCUGGCUUAACACUGACACUUCAGACCCGAAAGCGUGGGGGGCAAACAAGAAUAGAUACCCUGGUAGUCCACGCCGUAAACAAUGAACACUUGGU